CCCGCGCAUUCUCCUUCCCCUAUCGCUCCCCAGUCCCCACCUCCCCUCCCCGAAUCGUCGCCGCCACCUCCUCCUCUCUCCCGGCGCCGCCGAUCCCCCAACGCCAGCUCGUCGUCGCGCUGAUCUCCCUCACAUCCGUCGCCAUCAGCGAUUGCCACCGAUUCCCCAGCGCCAGGUCGUCGUCGUCGCGGUGACCGAGCCCCCGACGGGGGGGUUCGCGCCGCCCGGGAGCAGGAGGAUCGUCGGGAUCGGGUCCGGGGUGGUCGCGUGGUACCUCGCCUCGAUGGCCCGUGCUGACCAAAGGCGUCGGCGCCGCCGCCAUCUUCAUCGUCAACGACCUCUGCUCUCAGUCAUAAAAUUUGAUGGAAUACCAAUGCCUGUUGCAACAGGGUAAUUUGCCCUCAAUCUGAGGUAUUGCCAUGAAUGGAUAUCCUGCUUAAUGGAUACUGCCGCCAGGAAGAUGUACAUCGCCCUACAGCCACCAAUUUCGAUCGUGUGUGUCUGCAUGGUGGUGAGGUCGUCAGAUCGGAACCCUAAACCCCAGGAAAGGGUUCAGAUCAAAUUUCUGAACUUCAAAUAGGGAAUUGUUUUUCCAUACUGUAAUCGAGUUAUACUGUUUUCUAACCAAAUUGC
rnacentral:sRNA from 1 species